UCAGGUGCCUAUAUCGGUGGUGUCUUCCUCUUCCCAUUCCGAACAGAGCAGUCAAGCCCGCCAGAGCCGAUGGUACUGCAGUAAAAUGUGGAAGAGUAGGUCGGCGCCAAAU
rfam:Mucilaginibacter polytrichastri strain RG4-7 Scaffold1, whole genome shotgun sequence.